GCUAUUUCCUCUCGAACCAUAGUAAUAUUAUUUGAUCAGAUCAUUGAAUCAUUUAUUUCUCUUGAAAUCUGUUCCAUUCUUAUUUCUACACACGUCUUUUUUUAGGAGGUCUACAUCCAUUAUGUGGCAUAGGGGUUACGUCCCGUA